rnacentral:rRNA from 1 species
CAAUGGGCGAAAGCCUGAUGCAGCAACGCCGCGUGCGGGAAGACGGCCUUAGGGUUGUAAACCGCUUUCAGCAGGGAAGAAACUGACGGUACCUGCAGAAGAAGGUGCGGCCAACUACGUGCCAGCAGCCGCGGUGACACGUAGGCACCAAGCGUUGUCCGGAUUUAUUGGGCGUAAAGAGCUCGUAGGCGGUUCAGUAAGUCGGGUGUGAAAACUCUGGGCUCAACCCAGAGACGCCACCCGAUACUGCUGUGACUUGAGUACGGUAGGGGAGCGGGGAAUUCCUGGUGUAGCGGUGAAAUGCGCAGAUAUCAGGAGGAACACCAGUGGCGAAGGCGCCGCUCUGGGUCGAAACUGACGCUGAGGAGCGAAAGCGUGGGGAGCAAACAGGAUUAGAUACCCUGGUAGUCCACGCCGUAAACGUUGGGCACUAGGUGUGGGUCUCAACCAACGAGAUCCGCGCCGUCGCUAACGCAUUAAGUGCCCCGCCUGGGGAGUACGGUCGCAAGACUA